rnacentral:rRNA from 1 species
UCGCCUGUUUAUCAAAAACAUAGCUUUAUGAAUUAAAUAUAAAGUAAAACCUGCCCAGUGAUUUAUUUAACGGCCGCAGUACUUUGACUGUGCUAAGGUAGCAUAAUAAAUUGGCUUUUAAUUGAAGUCUGGAAUGAAAGGAUAAAUGAAUAUUUACUUUUUUACUUUAAUUUAAGUGAACUUACUUAAAAGGUGAAAAUUCCUUUAAUUAAUUUUAAUAGACGAGAAGACCCUAGGAGUUUGAUUUUUUGUUGGGGCGGCAUUAUAGUAGUAAAACCUAUAAUAUGUAAUAUUUAAUAUAACAAAAAUUAUUUUAUAAAAUAAAACUACCCUAGGGAUAACAGCAUAAUUUUAUUUAAAGUUUGUGACCUCGAUGUUGGACUAGGAAAAUUUAAUAUUAGCUAUAUUAAAAAUUUUGUUCUGUUCGAACAUUUUACUCCUACAUGAUCUGAGUUCAAACCGGA